UCUGUUAGAAAAUGACUAGAAUUUUCUAAGGCAGCACUGCCUAAUAGAAAUAUAGUGUGAGCCACACAAUAUAAUUUUUAAGUUUUUAGUAGUCAUUAAAACAAGUAGAAAGAUACCAGUGGAAUUUUAAUAACUGUAUUUCUAUACUGCUGCUCCUUCUAUUGAAUCUAACUUAAAAUUCCAUGUAACCCUCACAUGUGGGUAUGAAAAACAUUAACAGGAAAUGCUAAUAUAGGGAGUCAGUGAAGCUGGGGUAGGAAAUUGAUGAUGUGAUACCGGAAGUGAUCUGGCAGGGCUUUAAAGUAAUGCCAGAGGUCCUUCCAGGCAGUUCUCAACUUGCUCCUUGGCUGUUCUCCUGACACUUAAGUCAGAGCAUUCUGUAGCUGUAUUUUACAGAACUGUAAUUGCACAGAUUGUUCCUCUUACAAGAGAAAUAUCCAGAGCUCUAAGAAAACAACUGAUGAAAACGACAUGCGUGACAUUUGGUGCUGAAGACCCAGGUCAGAGAGACUCCUUUGGGGGACCAGUCCGCUGUCCUUGCCCUCACUCUGUGAGGAGACCCACCUACGACCUCGGGUCCUCAGACCAACCAGCUCAAGGAACAUCUCACCAAUUUCAAAUCGGGACCCCACUGGAAAAUGGACUGUCCAACUCACCCGGCAGCCACUCCCAGAGCCCCUGGAACUCUGGCCCAAGGCUCUCUGACUGACUCCUUCCCAGAUCUUCUCGGCUCAGCAGCUGAAGACUGACACUGCUUGAUUGCCUGGGAAGCCUAUAGGACCAUCACAGACACUUUGGAUAACUCUUACAGUGAAGGAAGAACAGCAUUUAGCUGGGCCUAUGGCUACCUACCUAAAGACUGCACCUCUUAGUCACCCUUGUGGCCAGGUGUGGCCACGUGACAGUGGAAUGUAAGUGGAAGUGAUGUAUGCACUUGGGUUCAUUGGUUUAAAAAAAAAUAUGACCGCCCUCCAUUUCCACUCUUUGUCUUAUCUGUGAAUGGGAACAUGGCUGUGUCUGCAGCCCGACUUUGUGCAGCAAAGGACAAGGCCCUAGGGGAAGGUGGAGAAACAAGAUGGAACAACUUGGACCCAACAACUUGGAUCCCUAUGUGGCCAUGUGGAGUCAUCUCACCCACCUGGGCCACUCACCCCGAAGACUGUUGUGUGAGGGUGAAAUAAACUUCUGUAUCACUAGCCCCUGCAUUUCAGAAAUUCUUUGUUAUGGCAGUUUUGCCUUUAUCCUAACACAGACAGCAAAGUAUCUUCUGUGGCCCCAUGACUAAUUUCGUUGUUUAAACUCAUUAUAAAAACUAUAUAAAUAAAAUAUUAAAAAUCAAAUAAAAUAGCAAGAUAACACUGUGUAACUAUCCAGUUUUAGAUGUUAUUACCUUUUUGGCAUAUUUACCUCAUCUAUUUUCUCCAGGGGUUUUUAAAGAAGAGUCAUGCUUGUUAUUUUAAAUUAUCUGCAGUGCUCCUUGGUCUUAUAAAACUAUGGGUUAUUUCAAACUUCGGUAAAUGUCUGAUACACAUGAACUUCUUGCAUUGUUGAGGAAAUCAGAGAAAAAUGAUGCUGUUUUUCCCUUGUAAGUUGACAAUGGAUGGAGAUGAAACCACCUUUGCAAAAUUAUGGCAAUAAGAGAAAUUGGACAUGGCAGACUCCAUCUUGCUUUUAGCCUCACAGGUUGGCUGUCUUGGCUCAUUCCUGGGCAUAAGCCAAGCUAACUUUGGCAGAAAUUGAGUUUAUAGUGUAAACGAUAAUAGCCUUUCCCCAAAACUAAACUACCCUUGUAAAAUUAAUGAAAGGCCACCAAGUUAGGAGGAUGAGAAGGGCCUGAAUGCCUGAAUUCAGCCAUUAUUCUGGAAGUCACAAGAUGUGCAACCUCCCCAGUUACUCCUGUAAAUAACUUCAGUAUUGUAGAACCUAAGAUUGGCCUUUUGACAGCCUUUUGCAUUUCUGACAACUAGAUGGCCCCACGCAGACCCGUGACUCAACCAGUCCUAUAGCCUUCAUCCAAAAAUGGACUCAGUGCAUGAGGACUGUUUUCCACACCCUUAUGAUUGCAUCCCAAACCAAUCAGCAGCACCCAUACCCUAUCCCCUGCACACCAAACUAUCUUUGAGAAACUCCUAACCUCUGAUUCUUUGGUGAGAUUGAUUUAAGUAAUAACUCUGUCUCCCACAUGGCGUGGCUGGCGUCGUGUCAAUUAAACUCUUUCUUUACUGCAAUGCCAUGGUCUCUAUGAAUUGAUUUUGUUUUGCAG
rnacentral:lncRNA from 10 species